UACGUAGGGGGCUAGCGUUGUCCGGAAUUAUUGGGCGUGAAGCGCGCGUAGGCGGCCACUUAAGUCGGAUGUGAAAGCCCCUGGCUCAACUGGGGAAGUGCACCCGAAACUGAAUGGCUUGAAUGCAAAAGAGGGUCGCGGAAUUCCCGGUGUAGAGGUGAAAUUCGUAGAUAUCGGGAGGAACACCGGUGGCGAAGGCGGCGACCUGGGUUGACAUUGACGCUGAGGCGCGAAAGCGUGGGGAGCAAACAGG
rnacentral:rRNA from 1 species